UACAGAGGCCUCAAGCGUUGUUCGGAUUCAUUGGGCGUAAAGGGUGCGCAGGCGGUCGGGUAAGUCGGAUGUGAAAUCCUGGGGGCUCAACCUCAGAACUGCAUUCGAUACUGCCUGGCUAGAGGAUUGGAGAGGAGAGUGGAAUUCACGGUGUAGCAGUGAAAUGCGUAGAGAUCGUGAGGAAGACCAACGGCGAAGGCAGCUCUCUGGACAAUUCCUGACGCUCAGGCACGAAGGCCAGGGGAGCAAACGGG
rnacentral:rRNA from 1 species